rnacentral:lncRNA from 1 species
UAAAAUCAAUCACGAAGGAGAAGUAAACCGUGCUCGUUACAUGCCGCAGAAUCCUCACAUCAUUGCUACAAAAACACCAUCUUCUGAUGUGUUGGUUUUUGACUAUACAAAACACCCUGCUAAACCAGACCCAAGUGGAGAAUGUAAUCCUGAUCUCAGAUUAAGAGGUCACCAGAAGGAAGGCUAUGGUCUCUCCUGGAAUUCAAAUUUGAGUGGACAUCUCCUAAGUGCAUCUGAUGACCAUACUGUUUGUCUGUGGGAUAUAAACGCAGGACCAAAAGAAGGCAAAAUUGUGGAUGCUAAAGCCAUCUUUACUGGCCACUCAGCUGUUGUAGAGGAUGUGGCCUGGCACCUGCUGCACGAGUCAUUGUUUGGAUCUGUUGCUGAUGAUCAGAAACUUAUGAUGUAAGGUGGAAAAUUCAGUGGGAUCUUGUUAAAUGGGUGACCUGAAUGACCAUCAGUGAUUGCUGCAGGCUGUAGUUUGAUUUUUUUUUUUUAAGUUAUGGCUUUAAAAAACAGCUUUAGGUAGCUUACUCCUGUAAUCUCAAUACCUUGGGAAGCUGAGGCAGGAGGAUUGCUUGAGACCAGGAGUGUGAGACUCUACACAAAAUUUAAAAACAAAAAAUUAGUUGGGUAUGGUGGUGUGCACCUGUAGUCCUAGCUACUCAGGAGGCUGAAGUGGGAGGAUCACUUAUUAUUUAGAAAAAAAGAAAACUAGGUAUGGACAUGUGAAGGAACAUACUUGGUGUGGUGGUAAAUAUCAAAAUUGAGAUCCAGAGUGAUGCCAGUUGGAGGUCGAGGAGGAAAAUGAUUUCAUCAAGGUGUGGCCACAGGGCUUCAUUCACUUAUAAUCUUAUAAAGAAAUACCUGAGGCAAAUGUGACAAAAUACUGGGCAUUUGUCAAAACUAGUUUUAGGUAUCAGAUUGUGACAUUAUUCUCUACAUAGUCUGUAUUUUGUGUACACUUGAAAUAGUUGGUAAUUAAAAUAGGAAUCUAAUUUAAAAAACAGGACUAACAGCCCUAGCUUGUUCUCUGUAGGUUUCGAAUGUAUCAUUUAGUGGUCGAGGUCUGAAUCACCAGCUGUGUGGUUGGUUUCUUCAUGAAGGGGAGCACAUAGUGGAGCUAGUUGUGGAGUGCAGUGACAGUGAUGUGAGGCCGAAUGUGAGUGUGUCAUCCCUGGGUGCCGUGUGCCUUUACCUUUGUGUUUUAGAUGGGACACCAGGUCCAAUACCACCUCCAAGCCGAGUCACUUGGUGGAUGCGCACACUGCCGAAGUCAACUGCCUCUCAUUCAAUCCCUACAGCGAAUUUAUUCUAGCCACCGGCUCUGCGGAUAAGGUUUCGAAGUUUUUGCAUUAUUUGGUGUUUAUAAAACCCAGUUCUCUUGUGCCUUAAUCAGAUAUUUGAAAAUUCUUAGGUAAAGCAUAGAAAUCAUUUUCACUUGUUAUUUUUCUUUAGACCGUAGCUUUAUGGGAUCUGCGUAACUUAAAAUUAAAACUCCAUACCUUCGAAUCUCAUAAAGAUGAAAUUUUCCA